CCGUCGUGUAUGAAGUAAGGCCUUCGGGUUGUAAAAGUACUUUCAGUCAGUGAGGAAGUGGGUAUGUUAAUAGCAUAUUCAUUUGACGUUUAGCUGCAGAAGAAGCACCGGCUAACUCCGUGCCAGCAGCCGCGGUAAUACGGAGGGUGCGAGCGUUAAUCGGAAUUACUGGGCGUAAAGCGCAUGCAGGUGGUUUGUUAAGUCAGAUGUGAAAGCCCGGGGCUCAACCUCGGAAUUGCAUUUGAAACUGGCAAACUAGAGUACUGUAGAGGGGGUAGAAUUUCAGGUGUAGCGGUGAAAUGCGUAGAGAUCUGAAGGAAUACCGGUGGCGAAGGCGGCCCCCUGGACAGAUACUGACACUCAGAUGCGAAAGCGUGGGGAGCAAACAGGAUUAGAUACCCUGGUAG
rnacentral:rRNA from 1 species